AGAUUAUCUUGCCUUCACUUCUCAGGACUCGCCUGGUGUACUUCAUUUGAAAAAAUUAUCAGAUGCUGGCCUCACACAUAAUUUGGAAGUCUGUAGAUAUGGAGAUGCUCAAAUCUCUGCCACCAGAUUCACCUGAGCAACAGGAGUACAUCACAGCCAUCCAAAAUGAGGAUGGAUACAACUGGGGAUUGUACAAUUGACAGCAUCUGCAAAAUUUGAGGA